rnacentral:rRNA from 1 species
UGCGUAGGGGCCGAGCGUUGUCCGGAGUUAUUGGGCGUAAAGCGCACGCAGGCGGCGGCGCGCGUGGGGGUGUGAAAUCUGGCCGCUUAACGGCCAGGCGCCAUCCCAUACGGCGCAGCUGGAGUGAUGCAGAGGUCGAUGGAAUUGCCGGUGUAGUGGUGAAAUGCGUAGAGAUCGGCAGGAACACCCAGGGGGGAAACCAGUCGACUGGGCAUCUACUGACGCUGAGGUGCGAGAGCGUGGGGAGCGAACCGG